GCGUACUUAAGUAUCAAAAGUAAAAGCAUAAAUAAUUUCAAAUUCCUUAUAUUAAGCAAACAAGACGGCACCAUUCUCUGGAGUCGAGUGAUGCAUCCUCCGAAACAUGACUCGCCAAACCAGGCUUCUUAACACCCGCCUGCUUAACCCGGAAGCCAGCCGCACCAAUAUGUUAGAGCGCGAUGAGCCAAGUAAAACCCCUCCGGCCAAACCCUCCCCUAACUCGGACAACUCUAGGCCAAUUGUGCGCCGCCCUAUGGGACUCCCGAUCACGUCCAGUUGUGAUACACCCCGGGAACGAACCAGGAUAUGUAGUGACGCCUCUGCGCUGCAGUGCAUUAGACCGCUGCGCCACUCGGGAGCCACUCUUGUAUUUUUUUGUUAUUUACGAAAAGCCAGGGUCACACUCCAACACUCAGACAUAAUUUACAAACGAAGCAUGUGUGUUUAGUGAGUCUGCCAGAUCAGAGACAGUAGGGAUGACUAGGGAUUUUCUCUUGAUCCUCUCAAGCUCUGCCAGUUUGGAUGGGUAGCAUCACUGCACAGCGAUUUUCAGGUCUCUCCAGAGAUGUUCGAUCGGGUUCAAGUCCGGGCUCUGACUAGGCCACUCAAGGACAUUCAGAGACUUGUCCCGAAGCCACUCCUGCGUUGUAUUGGCUGUGUGCUUAGGGUCGUUGUCCUGUUGAAAGGUGAACCUUCACCCCAGUCUGAGGUCCUGAGCACUCUGGAGCAGGUUUUCAUCAAGGAUCUCUCUGUACUUUGCUCUGUUUAAUCUUUCCCUUGAUCCUGACUAGUCUGCCACUCUACCAUAAAGGCCUGAUUGGUGGAGUUCUGCAGAGAUGGUAGUCCUUCUGGAAGGUUCUUGAUAAGGGAAUUUAUAUGUUUAAGGUAAUGACUAAAGAAUGUCACCCUGAAAAGUAAUUAUUAGAUUAUGUAACAUGUAUUAUGAAUAAUUAGAGUGAUAAACUUAAGUCCAAGAAGGUUUGGCCUAGACUAGUAAGGGAGAUAAAUGUGCGUGUGUGACUAAGAAAAUACAGAGGACAAUUAAACUAUUGAUGACCUAACCAGGUUAGAACUCUAAGAAUCUUACGACAGGAAAGGGAGUCCUGUCAAGGUCCCUCUAAUCUCGGGAGGAUAGAACUACCAGCUUGGUAGUGAUAGACGAGCAAUGCGGACUGUGGGGAAAGAUACAUCCCACCUACUGUUUGUGUGUCUGUAUGUGCGUGUAAGGAGGUGGGGGAAAUGGGAGUUAUAAAAUGUAAUGUCUUUGCAUUCUUGACUUUAG
ensembl:lncRNA